UUCUUCUCAUGAGCUCCUCUCUGUCUAGUCAAUGAUGGUGUAUGGAUUCGCACGAGAAGUAGAAAGAACUCACAGAUGAACAGGUGCCCCCUGCUAAAAGAGGGAGCUGCCCAAGUCUUGAUGUGAAACACAU